rnacentral:rRNA from 1 species
GAAUAUUGGACAAUGGGGGCAACCCUGAUCCAGCAAUGCCGCGUGUGUGAAGAAGGCCUGCGGGUUGUAAAGCACUUUCAGUAGAGAAGAAAAGCCUAAGGUUAAUAACCUUGAGUCUUGACGUAACCUACAGCAGAAGCACCGGCUAACCCCGUUCCAGCAGCCGCGGUAAUACGGAGGGUGCAAGCGUUAAUCGGAAUUACUUGGCAGAAAGCGCGCGUAGGCGGUUUGUUAAGUCAGAUGUGAAAUCCCCGGGCUCAACCUGGGAAUGGCAGUUGAGACUGGCAGGCUAGAGUGUGGUAGAGGUGAGUGGAAUUUCAGGUGUAGCGGUGAAAUGCGUAGAGAUCUGAAGGAACAUCAGUGGCGAAGGCGACUCACUGGGCCAUUACUGACGCUGAGGUGCGAAAGCGUGGGUAGCAAACAGG